AAUAGUAGUUUUCCUUUGGUGUCGCAAGAUUGUUUUUAAAAAACAUAACAUUUCUGUUGGAAAUGAAGUAUUUGAAAAACAGUCGAAUCAUGAAAACGUAUUUGGGAAAAUUCGCGCCAAUUUUUUUGCCAACGUUUUUGCGAACUAUGAGAAAAUAUAAAAGUAAGUAGUUAAAUCAAAUACACGGAUACGUAGCAGCGCUACGAAUCAAUUAGUACUUUCACUGAUCCGAAUUUCGUGAAAAAGUGUUUCGCCGUCUCGAAUCGCCUCGGUUUAUAGACACGAGUUUUUUUUAUUUACGUGAAAGUUUAGUUUGCAAUAAGCAGGAACGUCUUUCUUUUUUUCAUCAUAGUGUGUUUCAGUCUUCGAGUUGGAAUGACAUUCACACGUAUCAAUGAGGGAAAAUAUUUUGCCCGGAAGAGAGACGAGUGAUAUAUUUGCACUGUCAUAAUUAAAAUUUAUGACAGUGUUUAUGAACAGAUAAAAAAAUAGAUAAAGCAUUUGAAUGCCAGAUCUUAUUAAACAAUGAAUAAUCUUUCUCAUAAAUAGAAAAAUGUUCUAAAGGAAAUUUUUAUAAACAAAUACUAAUGAGUGCAAAGUAAUAAUCUGUAAUAAUGUGUUUUAUUAAUUUGAAUAUAUUUUUUUAAUAUUAAAAAGAUUAAUUCAUUUUUAAUUAAUUAAUUAAAAAAUGUUAAGCCGUGUAUCUUAAUUACGAAGAUAAUUAGACUUUAAUGGAGUACAAAUAUAAAAUGCUUUAGAUUUUUCAUAUUUUUUUUCAUUCGUUGACCAAACUUAAAAUUAAUCUUUCUUUAAGUGUUGAGGAAGUGCUGAAAACGUGAAAAAUUAAUGUGAGAACUAUGAUAGUGUAUACAUUUUUUUGCACUAAUUAGAAUUGUAAUUAAUGUGCAGCUAUGGGCUACAUGUACGAUGACUCCGACCAAGAUGAGAGAUAAUUAUCGACCAUAACGGUUGUAAUAAUUAGAGUUGCUAGAGAGUGAUAUGGCUACAAAUGCAGUUUUGUAUACGGAUAUAUAGAUUAAGCAUUAUUAAAAUGUAUACUGAUAUUUAACUACUUAAAUAAUUUUACAAAAGUUAUCGAGUUGCGAGGAAGGACUCGAUAAACGACUCGCUGAAAUAUCAAAGGAUGCCAUUAGGAUAAUUAUCCUCAUCUGCGAGCAACGGACUCUAUUGCUCGAAUAAUAAAAAGUCGCUUUGUUUAAAGGACAAUGGAACCUGUUAAAUAACAGGUAUGCCGCUUAACGAGGCAUGCCAAUUAAUCGCUAUAAUUAUAUGAAAGCUAGCUGAUAUAAAGCUAGCUUUAAAAAUCGGCAGUUUUAAAUUACACACAGUCGGAGCUUGGCGGAACUGAAUACAGAUUUUCGUGCACCAACGCGACGUUAAGGAAUACUGUGAUGUAUAAUAUUUAAGAUAAAGACGAAUGAAUCGUUUAAUUUCUGCGCUACUUUCUGCCAUGUCUUGAUAGAAGCAUUUUUAUUCAAAAUAAUUCUAAUUUUUUGAUGUCAAUUAAAUUAAAAAAAGACCAAAAAUUAAAUUAAAAAAAAAAGUAAUUAGUGAAGAAUAAAUAAGCGGACAUUUUAUAAGUAAAUUUUAUAAGUUAUAGAAUUUCGUAUAAGUUUUAACAAUUCGGUCAUGCAUUAGUAUUAAUAUUUAAAUAGAAUUUUUUAAAUUUUCUUAAAAUUAAUCUAUUCUUUUAGUCCCUUAAUAAAAAUAAGAUAGUUCAAUAUUGCUGCCACGUUAUAAUCUUGCUAUUCAAUCUUACAGUAAUCUGGUUAUUCGGGAUAAGACAGUUUCCAGGAAAGAAUUGCAUACCGACAAUUUUAGUGUGCCACGACCUUCAUAUGAGAGAAUUAUUCCCGGUGUGAUAAAAGUUCUAUUCACCUUCCGGAGACAUUUCUUGUAUAUAGAAACGACAUACCGUGUUAAAUCGAUCUCCGUUCAGGCGUGCAGAUUGAGGAAUGUAGAUCAUGAAUAAAAUAUCUUCGGGGGUACUCCGCUCACUCGAAUGACAACUAAAUGACAACACGGGAGAUACUUGAAUGCAACGAUAAUUACCCCUUCCACUCGAGCGGCGCGAGGAAUGAAAUACAUCGCUACGAGAUGCAGUUACGGGAACCGACGUCUUCUCCCAUUCAUUUCCAGCCGUUCGCACAGUUCUUUUCACGCAUGAUCGGUAAUAUAUAUGGGAAGAUAUACGCGCAAUUUAUUUACGUCGUUUACAUUGUUAUUCCCCUCGAGAUGCUUCGCUUCUCGUGAUUACGAGGUAAGAACGUUCGUAACGCGCACCCGCGGACUCAUGGCCUGUAGGGGCCUUUGUGAAUGUGGAUCGUGACUGUUUUGCACCGAUCCUACGAUCGUGCCGGGAUACACAAGGUGCGCUCAGAUCAAUGACGUAACGCCGUAAGUGAUUGCGCAGAACAACGGGACCAGAUACCCGGUUGGAUAUAGAGCAUCCGUAAUCUGUGACAUACAUCGAUAUUCAAAUUCAUGCGAUUCACUUUCAACUCAGAUCAUUCUGAUAAAUCGAUUGAAUGAUACCACUAAAUGAAUAAGUCGUUGUUUAGAUAAAGAUGCUUAGCUUCUCUUAGUAGUUCCUCUUAGAGCACUAAGCUUAUUUAUACGUACCUCUUUAUAACUUAUAUAAAUUAAUUUUCUUUUACCAUUUCAUUUAGUUUGCAUUUUGCGAAAUAAUAUUUACAAACCUACUUAAAGUUGCUAAUAUUCAAAUAUUUUUUCUAAUACCAACAUUGAUUAUUCAGAAAAUAAAGUUAUUACAUUGCUAUAUAUUGAUAUAAAGUCUAAUUUUAUCCAAUAUUCAAAACAUAAAAUUAUGUUUAUAAAAAUAAAAAUAAAGUUUUCUUAACGUUGGAAAAGUGACUUGGUAUAUUAUAAGAGUCAAUAUUUCCUUCAAAAUGUUCAACUUUAUUGAAAUUAUGACAAUAAACGUGUAGAAAAUUAACCAAAAUCAAAAUUCUAUUUUUCAUAAAAAAA
rnacentral:lncRNA from 1 species